GACGAACGCUGGCGGCGUGCUUAACACAUGCAAGUCGAACGGAAAGGCCCUUCGGGGUACUCGAGUGGCGAACGGGUGAGUAACACGUGGGUGAUCUGCCCUGCACUUUGGGAUAAGCCUGGGAAACUGGGUCUAAUACCGAAUAGGACCAUGCGCUUCUUGGUGUGUGGUGGAAAGCUUUUGCGGUGUGGGAUGGGCCCGCGGCCCAUCAGCUUGUUGGUGGGGUAAUGGCCUACCAAGGCGACGACGGGUAGCCGGCCUGAGAGGGUGACCGGCCACACUGGGACUGAGAUACGGCCCAGACUCCUAUGGGAGGCAGCAGUGGGGAAUAUUGCACAAUGGGCGCAAGCCUGAUGCAGCGACGCCGCGUGAGGGAUGACGGCCUUCGGGUUGUAAACCUCUUUCGCCAGGGACGAAGCGCAAGUGACGGUACCUGGAGAAGAAGGACCGGCCGACUACGUGCCAGCCGCCGCAGUAACAC
rnacentral:rRNA from 1 species